rnacentral:rRNA from 1 species
UAGUCAUAUGCUUGUCUCAAAGAUUAAGCCAUGCAUGUCUAAGUACAGGCUUUGGUACAGCGAAACCGCGAAUGGCUCAUUAAAUCAGCUAUAAUUUAUUAGAUUGUUCUCUACUUGGAUAACUGUGGGAAUUCUAGAGCUAAUACAUGCACAAAAGCUCCGACCUUCGGGAAGGAGUGCAGUUAUUAGACCAAAACCAGCCGAGCUUCGGCUCGAACUGUUUGGUGACUCUGGAUAACUACGAGCGGAUCGCAUGGCCUUGUGCCGGCGACAUAUCUUUCAAGUGUCUGACCUAUCAACUGACGAUGGUACGCGAUAUGCCUACCAUGGUGAUAACGGGUAACGGAGAAUAAGGGUUCGACUCCGGAGAGGGAGCCUGAGAAAUGGCUACCACAUCCAAGGAUGGCAGCAGGCGCGCAAAUUACCCACUCUCAGUACGAGGAGGUAGUGACGAAAAAUAACAAUGCGGGACUCUUUGAGGCCUCGCAAUUGGAAUGAGCGCACUUUAAAUCGUUCGACGAGGAUCUAUU